rnacentral:pre_miRNA from 1 species
AUAAUACUCCCUCCGUCCCAUAUUAAGUGCCGAAAUAUUACAUGUAUCUAGAUGCUUUUUAGGUAUAGAUACAUCCAUAUUUGGACAAAUUUGAGUCACUUAAUAUGGGACGGAGGGAGUAUAAG